rnacentral:rRNA from 1 species
GUGAGGAAUAUUGGUCAAUGGGCGGGAGCCUGAACCAGCCAAGUCGCGUGAAGGAAGAAGGAUCUAUGGUUCGUAAACUUCUUUUGCAGGGGAAUAAAGUGCAGGACGUGUCCUGUUUUGUAUGUACCCUGAGAAUAAGGAUCGGCUAACUCCGUGCCAGCAGCCGCGGUAAUACGGAGGAUCCGAGCGUUAUCCGGAUUUAUUGGGUUUAAAGGGUGCGUAGGUUGUUUGAUAAGUCAGCGGUGAAAGUUUGCAGCUUAACUGUAAAAAUGCCGUUGAAACUGUCGGACUUGAGUGUAAAUGAGGUAGGCGGAAUGCGUGGUGUAGCGGUGAAAUGCAUAGAUAUCACGCAGAACUCCGAUUGCGAAGGCAGCUUACUAAGCUACAACUGACACUGAAGCACGAAAGCGUGGGGAUCAAACAGGAUUAGAUACCCCAGUAGUCC